AUAAACUCCAGAAUUUUCUGGUAAAAUGAACCCGUGUUUCCCCGUGAUCAAAGCAGCAUCUCCAGCCUCUCACUGCACAAGACCGUGAGCCUCACUGAUUUCCCCCGGCACCUUGAGAACCACUGGGCAAAGAAUAGUCUUCCCACGAAUAUCUGCAGGGUGAAUAACUCUCUAUGAAAGUCAGUGUGGCAGGGACACCUGGGUGGCUUAGUCGGUUGAGUGUCCGACUUCAGCUCGGGUCAUGAUCUCACAGCUCAUGAGUUCGAGCCCCGCAUCGGGCUUUGUGCUGACAGCUCAGAGCCUGGAGCCCCCUUUGGAUUCUGUGUCUCCCUCUCUCUGCCCCUAACCCACUUGCAUUCUGUCUCUGUCUCUCUCAAAAAUAAACAUUAAAAAAAAAUUAAAAAAAAAAAGUCAGUGUGGCAGUUGUUAAUGACAACAACGUACCCCAAGGACGGUGGUCGGGAGCAGGGGCACCUCAAGUACAGCUCCCACUAGCCUCUAUGUCUGGUCUUAUGCUCACUCUCCUCUACUCACGACUCUCUGCCCUCUCGCAGCGGCCGGCUUCUCUACAUCGAGUCUCUUCUCCUCCCUCCCAUCAUUCUGUACCUGUCUCCAGACUGAACGUGCCCUUCUAGAACUCAUGUGUUGAAACCUCACCCCAGUACGAUGAUGGUUGGAGGUGGGGUCUUCCUGGACGUGAUUUAGGUCAGGAGAGUGGAGCCCUUGUGAAAGGGGUUAGGUCCUUAUAAGAGAGACCUCAGAGAGCUCCCUUGUCCCAUCUGCCAUGCGAGGACACAGCAAGAAGACAACCAUCUGUGAAUCAGGAAUUGGGCCUUUACCAGACACCGAAUCUGCCAACACCUUGACCUUGGACUUCCAGCCUCCGGACCAGUGAGACGCAAAGGUCUGUUGUUAGAGCCGCCCAGGGCAUGGAGUUUUGUUACGGCAGCCUGAAUGGACUGAGACGUGCUUUUUUCUGUUCUCCCUCUUUUUACCCCCUCACUCAUCCCCUUUGAGCUUUCUCUUCCUCUUCCUCUCAUUUUCGAUUUGCCUCUUCUCCCCCACCCACCUUCUCCCUUCUUGGCCAAAUCCAUGGAACUAAGCUUUAUUUUAAAGCGGUCUUCUGAUUUAUUAAGUACCAGUCACUCAGUUCUUAAUUUUUCUCACGGAGCAUUGGAAUCUUACGGGCAUUUGCACCGCAACAAAGGACAGAUUAAUUUUUUUUAGUUGUGUGUGGCAAAAAAAAAAAAAAAAGAAUAAACGUUCUCUGUGAUGACAGGUGGCUCUUGAGAAGGUGAGGAGUGCCUGGCAGACUCCCCCGGACGCCCCGCUGCUUCUGCACACCGGAAUAGCCUGGCAGUUUCUCUCUCUCACCUGAGCAGUAGCAUCCAGAAAGCUGGCCAGUUCCCAAGUGAUGGAAGCAAGUUACCCUACUGGCCACAGCUCCUACUUGAUGAAGAAAAACAAAGGAUCUGCGGGUGGUGUCUGACUUUAUGUAGGGAAUUAGCUCAUACGUUCCUUGGCACAGUGCUGUCCCCCUUCUGGAUGCUCAAGAAAUAUGAUUUGAUGAUAAGCCUGCCUGUGAUUUCCAGAUGCCUUUGUUUCCCUCCUGUUGAUUCCUCAGUCUUGCCAGGGAAGUUUUACUUGAGUGAGAGAGAGGGCACAUGAGCAGGACGGAGGGGCAGAGGGAGACAGACUCUUAUAGUGCAGAGCCGGACGCAGGGCUCGAUCAUAUGACCCUGGGAUCAUGACCGGAGCUGAACUCAAGAGUUGGAUACUCAACCAACUGAGGUACCCAGGCGCCCCUACGGAGGUAUAUUUUAAAAGGUUAUACUAACUCUACAUAUGCGUGAAGAUGCCAAUUUUUCCCAUUGUCUCUAGCACUUAAUGUGAAUAGUCUUUUUAGAUGUUGCCAUUUUGAAAGGCAAACCGCGCCUCAUUUUAAUUUAUAUUUUAAAGAUUAUUGGUGAGAUUGAAUAUGUUUUCUCAUGUUUACUGGUCAUUUGUAUUUUUCAUCUGUGUUUUGCAUAUUCAGAGCCUUUGUCUAUUUUCUACUUUUGUAUUUAAAAAAUUGUUUUAAUGUUGAUUCAUUUUUGAGAGACAGAGAGACACAGAGCGUGAGUGGGGGAGGGUCAAGGAGAGUGGGAGACACAGAAUCCGAAUUCUCAGGCUCCAGGCUCUGAGCUGACAGCACAGACCCCUAUGCAGGGCUCAAACCCAUGAACUAUAAGAUCAUGACCUGAGCUGAAGCCAGAUGCUUAACUGACUGAGCCACCCACGCGCCCCAUACUUUUUUAUUAUUCAGUAAAAAUCACCUAUGUUCUAUAUUGCAUAUACGUAUAUAACAUGUAUGUUAUACAGUAUGCAAUUUGUAUGCAUUUCUCUUGUAAAUAAAAUUACCUUUUACUACACCCAUUAUACAAAAAUUUUAUUCUGCAUUGGAUGAAAUGAUUCAAUGUUAGGGAAUUUAACAGUGUAUUGAAUUAUAUUAGUAAAUAAUUUGAGUCAAGAAUCAUCUGAUCCUGAAAAAAAUUUUUUGAUCUAAUUGAGAAGAAAAUGUUGUGAUUAAAGACUUCAAGUAAAACACAAUUUCUGAUUAAAUACUUCUGAUAAAAAUAAAAACUCCCUAAAAUGACUUUUAAAUGCUAACCAGAGAUCACCAUAAAACAUGGUAUGAAAUUGUAAAAUCCGAAAGGCAUGCCUAUGGCAGCUGGAAACAAGACAAGCCACGCGGUACCUUCUGCUAAAAUUCAGUCUGGUUUGGGAGGGUUCAGCUAAUGCGAGAAGACAGAAGCAAGUGAAUGGUGUAAAUUUUGGAAAAGAGGUGAAAGCACUUCCACUUUUGGCCGAGAAUAUGAUUUUAUACCUAGAAAACUCAGGAGGCUUAACUAAAAAGAAAAUCUCUUCAAACUCAUUUUUUAAAAAAACCCAAGCACAUGAAGAUGUCACUGGGUAAGAUAAAUAUUUGAAAGCCUCAACAGCUUUCCUCACCACUAGCACAACAUUUAGAAAUUGAAAUGGUAAAAGAUUCCAUUCAUGACAGCUACUAAAACUACAGAAUGACUAAAAAUACAUUUAUCAAGGAAGUCAUAGGGCUAGAAUACAUCAUUCAAUAUUAAUAUUUUACAGAAGACAUAAAGGAAGGCUUUAGUAAA